UUCAAGGAGUUGGGAGGUCGAUUGUCUUGAGUACGACAUUCACAUAUGGAAGUGUUUUUACGGAUUGAUAUCACUGCAACUCUUGAUUUUAGGCUGUAUGCCCUUUGGGUUAUUAUGGGUUUAGCCCUUGGGCUUCGAGUUGCAAGCAGCAUUUCUGGGGUUUCAUCUGCAAAUUUUUGUUUUUAUUUUUAUUUUUCCUUUACAUGGUGUGUUCAUUUAACAAUUUUGACUCAUGUUUUAUGGGUUACAAUUAUGAUGGUCAGCCUGUUUAGGUGCCAAGCGACGAGAUGGUGGGCGGCGGCGAUGAUAUGUUCAACACUGUCUUUAGUGAGAUAAUUGAGUAAUGCACUACAACAGUAAGUAAUCCUUCUCAAACUACCAUGCCAAUAUAAUUCUUUCUCAGUGUGAAACCCUAAGUGAUAAUAUGAAUUGGAUAUUAUCAUUCGAAACACUAACCUAUAAAUGAUGUUAUUUUUGUUUUAUGCCUUUAGUUUGUAAGGAAAUGAUGGAUCUGUGUCUGGAUCGAAACCAGAACAACUGCACAUGUCUGCAGGGGUUUCAUAUAUUCCACUUGGUAGUAGGCGUAAUCGGGUCAGGGUUUUGAUUUAUUGUCCUAGAGAGACUUUAUGUGAACUACGGAAAGAAACCUGAGUCGGAUUUGAUGUUUUACCCAUCUACUCUGGUCUGCACAUCUGUAGUGUAACCCUCCAAUAGCGCGCUCUCGACUAAUUCGCUCUUAGAGCACACUGAUAUUGUCGCUUUGUUAGCUGACGAGGACAUUUAUGACAUCGAGUGCCCUAAUUACACUAACCUUAACUGGGUUUUCUCUAGUCAGUAACUAUUUUUUUCUGUUUCCUGAACUUCAGGACAAGAAUAUUUAUGGUUAUGUUAUGGUCUUUAAUUGUUCCAUUCCAUGGCCCUCUGCCUCAUUUACAGAUGAGAUGUUGUGACCAAGGGUUUGAAUCCUGUUGUUGCCGCUAUUAAGAUUAAGAGGACUAUCCAGUUUGUGGAGUAGUGUUCUACUCGGUUCAAGUGGUAACAAUUAUUAGCCCUCAAACGUGCCUCCUGAUGACGAUCUUGCCAAUGGUGCAGAGGCCUGUUUGCACGAUUUUUAACUCAACAAAGUGUUGCUGAUUUCUCUUGUAUUAAUCACAAGAUUGAUCUCAUGUAUGCAAAGCAUGCCUUGUGCACAGGUAUGUUUGUGUGGGUAUAAAAAGAGGACAAUAAAAAUAAACAUUUUACACUAAGACUAUCUAAAAUGCUCAGAAAGGUCAACCUGCUCUAGUUUCCAAACAGAUUUAGCCGCCCUCCGGCAAUGUUUAUGUUGGAAUUUAGAUUUUCAGAGGUAUACAUAAUUAACAUGGGAUCUAGAUACCACCUUAUAGUAGUUUUAAUUUUGAUUUUUCGAAUCUCCUUCAAGACCUUGCUUAAGAGAAAUUAUAAGAUCAAUAGUUUGUGUUUGCUCUUUCAAACUACAUACCAUAGUUUGCAGUCAUUUUGAACUGGUGGCUACAAAAUAAGGACCAGCCAGAUCCCAUCUUAGGAGCACAUGAUAGGGCACCAAAUUCAGGAAGAAAAUUCCCCUUGUCAGGAAUGCAUGCCUGGGACUAUUUGGCUUUUAUGGUGAGCAACUUGCACUGGAGAAUAUCUCUGUUGCGAAUUUGAAUUCAGACGUUAUAAACAAUCAUGCGUUAGCUUUUGAAGUAUGAUUCUCACAAGCUCAAUAUAUAAAAGCCUUGAAGAUAUUGUCGAAGGGUUGCCCUAUAUCUAUAAGCUAUUUUCCUUAAAUUAUUAGUUUCUUUCUUGACAUGUGUGGAUGACUCUGUUUCCUCCAAUUCGAGGGAGGCUUUGAGUUACUUCUUGUUGAAUCCUUCAAACUAAUAACAGCUAUGUCAUACCUUAGGUAACAUUGGAUGACACUUCCUAUUUGUUGUUAAAACUCUACUCAGGGUUUGCUACCACGGCUAUUUCAUGAUUUUCUAUUUCGUAGUCAUUUAAUUUUGUGUUAAGGACAGGGAUGGGGGCAACACAAUGAGGUUAACUAGAAUUAUCUGGACAAAACUGAAAUUGAUAGUCAAGCAGUUAUGUUCUAAAGCUUCAGUUUACUGCUUGCACACAUGAUUAAUGGCUAUGCUAGUUAAUUGGUGUGCUGGAACAGAUUGCCAUUUUUAAAAGCUAUCAUUGCAUCAAUCUGGAGAAACUCAUUAUACUGAAUAAAUUUUGUUGUGAUUCAGUUUCACCCAUAAUAUUAGUACCAACUUCUUAUGUCUUAAUAGAAGUAAUCAGAAUUAUCUUGCAGAAUUAUUUGCAAGUAGCUGUAGAAGAUCAAUGCAUAUUUCAUUUGUGUCGAUUUUAUUUAAAGUUUGCCUGGUGAUGAAAGAGAAAAACAUUAGCAUUUUUUGCAUCAUGUAGAUCCUAUGAAGGCAAGGAAAUUGGAUGCAGAGUUUAUCAGAUGAAAUUCUAUUGGGAGCAUUCCUGUUCUAGUCGCUGUGAAUAUAUUCUCUGUGGACCACCAUUAAUUAUUCAGUAUGUUUCCUUUAUCGACAGUUGUAUAUGAUUGUAAUUAUCGUAGGAAGCUUUACUAGAAAAGCCUAAUUUCUUUAUUUUGGUAUCAUAACGGUGUGUAUGGUUUAGUGGGUAUCUUGCCAAUAUUGAAAAGCCCUUAGGCAGUAACAUAGUUGAUCAUGGAAAUGUUCGGGAGUGGCUAAAGAAGAUUCAUUCAUGGUACUUGAAACUCUUCUCUUUAAGUCACUGUCCAAAUGAAGCUCUUACAGAGCUGAUCGUGAAAAGGUUUGGAGUGGCUAGAGAAGAUUCAUCCAUGGGACUUAAAACUCGUCAUUUUAAGCUACUGUCCAGAUGAAGCUUCUCACCUUUUUAGCAUAAUCAAAAGGUAAGUUGCAAUUCACACCUUGCAAAUGCCAAAAUGUCCUAAUCUUGCAGAGACGUUCCGUAGAGGCAGCACUCAAUGGAGAAGGAUUGAAUGUCCAACUUCUAUUAAGUUUAAGAUUAUUAGCUUGCUGACCAUAUCUAAAAAUCAAUUGAAUCAUGUUCAAGUACUUGGCUGGAUCUGAGUUUUAUGUGAGAGAUUGUGUAGAUUUUCCUACACAUGCCAGGAUUUUGAGGUAUUGAAGGUGGACAAAGAAUACUAGCCCCUGCUCCUACACAAUCACUCGCUUAAAGCCUGCUGAAAAAACGAGCACGAGUACAUGCGUGGCUGGCUAUGCUGCCUCCUACUACCGCCAUGACUAUAUUUCUCUCCUUUUUCCUACUCUCUCAAAUUUUUCAUUAUGGUUCUAUGCCUUUUGAAUCCCAAAAAUUUGGGUCUGAAAGUUCUCACUAUCAUUCUUUGCUGCCAUCGUGAUUAAGGACAUUGUUACGUCUCAUAGACUAUUUGGGUGAACGAGGAGUGAGUAUAAACCAUAAAAAUGCUAUCCCCGGCUGUAGAUUCUCUCUACAGUAAAUUAUAAUUUAUAGAAUUUGUUAAUUAAAUCCGAAUAUCUGGCAUUAAGUUCUACUAUCUAUGGGACAUUCAGUGAUAUAUUUAAUUCUUCCAUUGCAUGCAGAGACCACCAUUCUCGGUAAAGAUAAAUCUUUUGUCAUUAUAAGAUUAAAACCUUCUUUCCAGGUAUGGGGAAAAUGGGUGGUGUGGCACUCCAAUUGCUUUGCCUUCGUUGUGGAUUAGUCAUGAUCAUAAGCAUGUUGAUUUGUUUUGUUCAUUUAUUUUUUUGUUCUUGGCAUGCAUGUUUCCCUGCCCACAGGAUGGGUAGAUAUCUGGAUAUGGAUUUCUUGUCCUGACACGUUUCCACAGGUUGGAUAUCUACAGACAUUUGGAUUCCCCAAGUCUUCAGUGUAUAGUUCGGCAAUGAAUCCUAAUAAACCAUGUCAUGUUUAUUUUUGAUGGAUUUUUUUUGAAGUAUGGGUUAUUGAUUCUGUUAAGUUUUGGGUACUUUUCAUAUAUCAGAUACUGGGAGCUUGUGUUUGACGGUGAACCGUUGGUAUCGAUCACCCACUCAAUUGUAGUUCCUGACAAGAGUAAUUUUUUUUCUUGAUGGGACUUUAGUAAUAUUCCGGCUCUGUGGGUUUAUUAGAUCGGUGGAUACAAGUCUAAAUUCUCGAUUGGGUGUGAUGCUAGGUGAGAUGUUUCUUUUCUAUUUCUUGGUCCUACAUUUCCAAUGAAUAUAAUACAAGGCUGAAGUUUUUACUUAACGUUAUCAACGCUGAAGUAUUUUAUUAAGACAUAAACAUACCAAACAAUUUUCCAAGGUAGCAAGACAUUAUUUAUUCAAGGAUUUCUUUGCAAAUCA